UUUGUUGGCCAUGCCACCCUGAACGUGCCCGAUCUCGUCUGAUCUCGGAAUCUAAGCAGGGUUGGGCUUGGUUAGUACUUGGAUGGGAGACCACCUUGGAGUACCAGGUGCUGUAGGUG
rnacentral:rRNA from 1 species